rnacentral:rRNA from 1 species
AUUGAACGCUGGCGGCAUGCCUUACACAUGCAAGUCGAACGGCAGCACGGGUGCUUGCACCUGGUGGCGAGUGGCGAACGGGUGAGUAAUACAUCGGAACAUGUCCUGUAGUGGGGGAUAGCCCGGCGAAAGCUGGAUUAAUACCGCAUACGAUCUACGGAUGAAAGCGGGGGACCUUCGGGCCUCGCGCUAUAGGGUUGGCCGAUGGCUGAUUAGCUAGUUGGUGGGGUAAAGGCCUACCAAGGCGACGAUCAGUAGCUGGUCUGAGAGGACGACCAGCCACACUGGGACUGAGACACGGCCCAGACUCCUACGGGAGGCAGCAGUGGGGAAUUUUGGACAAUGGGCGAAAGCCUGAUCCAGCAAUGCCGCGUGUGUGAAGAAGGCCUUCGGGUUGUAAAGCACUUUUGUCCGGAAAGAAAUCCUUGGCCCUAAUACGGUCGGGGGAUGACGGUACCGGAAGAAUAAGCACCGGCUAACUACGUG